AGCGGUUAAGCGUUUGGCUGCUAACCAAAAGGUUGGCAGUUUCAAUCUGCCAGCUGCUC
rnacentral:tRNA from 1 species